rnacentral:tRNA from 1 species
GCGGGAAUAGCUCAGCGGCAGAGCACUACCUUGCCAAGGUAGGGGUCGCGGGUUCAAAUCCCGUUUCCCGCUCCA